CGGCGUGCGGCGCCGCGGUCGAUAUCAAAUGUAAAUGCAACGCAACGUGUGUCGGACCCCCGAAUUCGCUUUGAAACGUAAUGAUCAAUGAUUAUAAAAUAAACUUACACAGCGCAUA
rnacentral:lncRNA from 1 species